rfam:Triticum aestivum genome assembly, contig: Triticum_aestivum_CS42_TGACv1_scaffold_527628_6DL
AAUAUACUCCCUCCGCCCCAAAAUACUUGUCGGAGCAAUGGUUAAAUAUGGAUAUAUGUAGAACUAAAAUACAUCUAGAUACAUCCAUUUCUCCGACAAGUAUUUUCGGACGAAGGGAGUAGGUU